UUAUGUGAUGCAUCUCAAAAUUUAUCUUACUUUAUCUAGCUUAUCAAUGUAAAGAUAAGGGUAUUUCUUGGUGUAAAAGAGGAAAUGCUGAGGUGACGUCUCUUUGUACUAAGGUGUGUCAACUUCAAUUCUUAGUUCUUUACUGGCAGAGAGCUAAGUGAUAGCAGGAUUUCUUUCUAAUCAUUUUAUGAUCCAUCAUCAGGUUUGCUACUUUGUAGAUGUUUGUCCUUCUCACCAGCUCAACACAAGCUGAGAGUUCUAUCAGGUCUUGUCUCACUGCCGAUUGUACGUAAUGAAGAUCUUAUGGCCAAGAGCUACCUCAGAAUGUAUGUGGGCAGAACUCCAGGCAAACAGAGGAACAUAGGGUGAGGCAAGCUGAAGCUGGAGAUUCAGAAUAGACAUGGUAGGGAAGCGAUAUGGACCAAAACAGUACGUACUUGUAAAGAGAUAAUCACCACUUUGGUCUUAAAACUAGAAGAAUGGGGUUAAAUUUACAGAAGGUGAGGGCAUGCCCAGUGAAAGGCCCAAGGUAAAAACUGUCAGAUAGGAUCUCAUGGUAUAGCUUACAGAGGCCUGUGAGCAAUGGUCCUUUGGUGAAAUUGGUGCAAUGAGGAGAACCCCACAAGCAGCAUGAGGGUGCCUUCAUUGGUGGCUCCAACAUUUUACUUUUCCUCUGUCAAUUGGACUCCAAACUGUUCCUAGCACAAUAAUGAUUUCAACUCUUUCUCCUAAGGGAUUUUGUGGCAACUGUGGAAUGCUAAGUACAAGGCUUCAUGAGAGUUCCCAUAACACACACCCAUGUCGCAACCUACCAUGCAGGCUAUUUCUUGAUGUGAUCUCAAGCACAUGUACAUAACGAGACAAGAGAAUCUUUUGACUGCAUAUUCAAACUGGUGUUAUUUUUCAGGAAUUUUUAAUGGCUAAUAUUGCUGAAUGAGGAUAAUUUGAGUUAAGAUGAGACAUUUUUGGGCAGGAAUAGCAGGGAAAUAUUCAUUAAAAUGCAUAGGAAUUACUAAGGUUUUCAUAAUCAAGCCUUGAGGAAUACUUGGCCUUGGAAUCAGGAGUUGCUCAGUGUCUAUGCCCUAGGAAAGUCUCCUGGAAAGGGCACAUCAGCUUAUGCACUAUACAGGGAGGUUAUUAGCAGGGAGGCAAAUUCUGUUCACUAUGAUAUCAGAUGUCCCUUCUUGGAAAUUCUAUGGUUUCCUAGAGAGUUCUUGGCAUCCUCUGUGAUGUCACCAGUGUUGUAGUAACAACCAGUGCCCUACUUUUUUCAGUCCCUGCCUGGCAGAUACAUAGGAAGACACGUUUUCCCAUCUUCCCAAGAAUUUUGGGAGAAUGAAUGGCAAUUUUCGACAGAGUAGUGUGAGGCAAUCUGGCCUUUCAUCAAAAAAAAAAUAAUGAACAAAAGAAACAAGUCUGGGGAAUGUGGAGUAAGUUCUGUGAAUUGUAUUCUGAGCUUUCUGUCAGAUGGAGUAUAGGUUUAGGCUGAUAUUUCUAACAAUGGGCCACAACAACUGGAGCAUCUGCAACGGAAUUGAAUUUCUAUGAAGAUCACAAUUCCUGAGAGUCAAAGAUUUCAGAACAUUAGUUUUCCCAUCCCCAAAGGGAGGAUAUGCUUCCACCCUAGUCCGGUGUGCUAUGGAGAAAGAAAAUAACGAACCCCAAUUGCACUUGAAGUUUACCCACCAACAAGAAGAGAGCCUGAUAACACUGAUACUGUGGCCUACUUUAAUACAGCCUAAGUCCGGGCUCUGCAUGGUGCUCAUUGACAUUUUGACAUCGGAACCACGACAGAAAUCAGCAAAAGGUUCAUUUAUUACAUGCUGUUGUUACUAAGGUGAGGCAAAGCCUUGCCCCAUAUAGAGACUGGUAGGAUGUCAUGGCAGUACAUAAACUCGCUUUUCCCUGUCCUGUGUGUCUUUGCCUGCAGAGGUCUCUCCUGCAGGAAAUACUUUCACAUGCUUCUUUAAAAGCACCUGUUCCUCACAUCUAGAUCAGCUGUGAAAAGAGGCUUCUCCAAGUCAGUCUGAGUGCUCCCACUCCCUGCUCAGAGCUGCAACACCAUAGGAUCCUCCAGCCACACUGAACGGUAGGUCCCUUUGAGGAGUUAGACGAAAGUGCCCCUUCUCAGAAGUGAUUUAGAACAGAAGGUUGAGAAGUGAGAGUCAACACCCAAGUGCUUCUUCCUGGAGAAAGCAACCAGAUCUCCCUGUUAAACUGUGUAGUCUAUCACAGGACCCAGUUCUUUGCCUGCAGAAGAUUUUUCUGGAGAUUAGUUGCCCAGUCAGAAUGGGGUUACAUUCUUGAUCCAUGCUCACUCCCACAACAAAAGCUCCUCCCCUAGAAGUCCUUGAGUUGACCCAAGUCCUUUUAGGGCCAACAGACAAGAGAGAACAGAGUGCAUCCAAGGGAAGAGAAGAGGCCAGAAUGAUUAUAACCUGGAGAAAUCCCCCAAAUCGGCCACCUAACAACUCUGGGGUUUGUGCAUAUUGUGGAUUUCAGAAUCUUAAGGUCAGAUUUUUCUGAUAACACCUGCUAGGUGAAGCUGAAGUCUACUGUAGGUGGGAUUAUCCCAGGCAGGGAGGGGAUCUGGGUCUUCAGGCCUGGCCAGCUUCUUCAAUCUCCUGAAAGUAAUUGUUGGUCAGCUCUAAAUCUGAAGUGGGAGUUGGUUUUUCUCAACUCAAACAGAUAUUUCAAUUCUCAUACACUAUGUGAGAGACACACAGUUACCCACGGGGGAUUUGAACUUACUUCUAUACAAGUGACUGUGGGCCAAAAGAGGGAAACCAUACCUGCCUUUAGCAUUCUGUCUUUAUCAGAGACUACAGGGACUAGCUUCCUGGACAGACAUGUCCAAGCAGACAGACAUUGUAAGGGGGAAAAUUGAGGUAAGAAAUGUCAUGGGGCCAGUGAUUUCAGAUUGUACCUUUAGCCAGAAUAUCUCUGGAGGCAUUAAGGCAAGCAGCUUUGGGCCUGCUAAAACUUGUCACUACUUCACGGUGUCUCUGCCUUUAUGUCUGCUCCGGGUCCUCCUUAUAUGAAGGCCUUUCUUUUAAAAAAAUAUAUAUAAAGCAAUGUUUCUCAGACUAUGAGGCACAACUUCACACACAGAUUGCAUAUCAGAUACCUUGCAUAUUAUGACUUAUAAGUACUGCAAAAUUCAUUAGGAAGUAGCAAUGAAAAAAUUUUAUACUUGGGGUCACCACAGCAUGAAGAGCUGUAUUAAAGAGUUGCAGCACUAGGAGUGUUGAGACCCACUGCCAUAGAAGCUGACACAUGGGAACAGACUACUCAGAUGAGGAGAGGCACACGGCAAGGGAUACUGUGUCCCACCCUAGGACCCAGAGGCAGAAUCUAUCCCAGGAGUCGGUGUGCUCAUCUUGUCUUCAGUUCUCCCAGGUUCAAGAAGAGCAUUGAUCAUCUCAGGAGAGUCAGCUUGCACAGCCCACAUCAGGCCCAAAGCUUCCCUUUACAGAGAAGGAUGUGGGUGUAACUGACAGCCAGUGAGACUGAGGGAUCUAAUGAUAAUUGGAUCUGAGCUGUGAUUUCUUCACCUGUAAACUGGAGGUGUUUCUGCUGAAUUGGGUUGUUGUGGAGAUGGACAAAGCAUACAAACUGAUCAGGGCCUCCCUAGCAUGGUUGAUUGUAGAUUUUCUCUGGUGAUCCAAUUAAAUUAGAAUUUCUAGCCACGGAGUGUUAGAUGCUGGGCACCUUAAAGGUGGUGUAAAUAUACUGUGAUUCUAAUGCUACCUCAAAUUUACACCCUAGGCUCUUGUUUUAAAUUUAAAAAGAUGAAUCAAGUAUAAACUGCCAAUGUGAAAUAAUCAUGGUCAGAAUUCAUCUAAUUCCUGUGAAGUUAUUUAGUUUUUAUUUUUCUGCAUCUAUCUUGAAGGCAUCUAGAGUAGCACUAUUGAGAUCCUAAAUCCUUCUAUUAAGGUGCUACCCAUCCAUUCCUCUCUCCUUGAGGACUUCACAGGUAACUGAAUAAAACCUGAUUUCUUUUCAAAUUGUUCCAAGCUGGUGUAAUCUCUCUGUCCAUGGACCUUGCCAAACGCUGCAGAGCCAAUGUGCUGUUUCACAACACAAAAUUCCAGACAUUAAGUUUACCAAUGACAUUUCCAGACUCAGAUGCUGACAUCAAGUAAAGCUCCCAACUGUCCUUCCUAAUUCACUGACCUCCCAGAGAAGAGGAUUCUUGUUCCCUCUGAACACUUUCUUAAUAAUCCUUCAACUCUAAGACUUUCCAUUGCCUUAGUUAUCUUCAUUUUCUGUGAAGUCGUGCCACGAUCUGCUCUGGACCUAAGUGCACUUUUUACCUUUGCAAGAAAGGUGUGUGGUAGGUGAACCAUACAGUAAUAAAGUCCAUGUUACAGGAAACAAACAGAUCUUGCGUAAAUGUCCUUGCCCUUGCAAUGCUAUACCAAACCAUAGUUUUUCGUUAAAUAAUACAUUCUUGGAGAUCACAGUGUGAUCAGAUAUUCUGUAUCCUAACUUAAUAAGUUAGAACAUUAAUAAUGUUCUCUCUAUUAUACAAAUCACAUUCUCUCAUGUGUAUUCUGGUCUUUUUCUGUCAUGUCUGAUUGCAUCAUCAUGGGACCCCAAGGAAUAUCAAUCCUGGGCUUUUGAAACAGUUGCAUAUGUCCAACCAGGAUCCAAAACCACCCAGAAGACUACUGAUACUUGACACACAUAAAUUGACCUCACUAAUUUCAUAUAGUUUAUGGCAAGAGGUCACCAUUCGUGACCAUGUCUCAUUAUCCAACAAGAUAAUAAAUGGAAGCGUAGGAGUCAAGGAGGUCUGCCCACAAAGCACAAAAAAUCCAUCUCAGAUAAACAUGUACGGUUUGUUGAAUCCAAAAUAUCCAUGAAUUUCAGGACUCAAUGUAAGUCCAAACCUAAGGAUAAUAGAUAUUGAAGAGAAUUAAGAGUUCCAGCUCAUAGGUUCAGUAAAUAUCUUCAACAAAUCAUCGCAGAAUACUUCCGUAAGCUGAAGAAAGAAAAGGCCAAAACAUACAACAAGCCUACAGAACGCCAAAUUAAUUAUACCAGAAAAAUUCCUCCCUUCACAUAAAAAUUAAACACUAAAUGCACAGAUACAAGAAAGUACAUUAAAAGGGGUAAGGUACAAAUAUCCAGUACCAAAUUAAUUCAGACCAAUUUGAAUUACACCAGCCUUCUCAAGAGAGACUCUAAAAGCCAGAGAAUCUUGGGCCGAUUUAAUGCAGACCCAAGCUCCUAUACACUGAGUAAUUCCCAAUCGCCAUAAAUGGAGAAACCAGGAUAUUACAUGACAAAAUCAAAUUUAAACUAUAUUUUUCUCUAUAAAGCACACCAGAGGAUAAUAGGAAGAAAACUCCAAGACAAUGAACUAACUAUUAUCGUAGAAAAU
rnacentral:sRNA from 1 species